rnacentral:rRNA from 1 species
AGUACGAGAUGCUAUGCAUCGAAGCAGUGUAUGUCAGACUUCCAAGAAAAGCUCGCAAUGUCAUAAAUAAAUAAUGCCUGUACCAUAACCGACACAGGUGGGUAGUAGAGUAUACUAAGGGGCGCGAGAUAACUCUCUCUAAGGAACUCGGCAAAAUGACUCCGUAACUUCGGGAGAAGGAGUACCUUAUUUAUAAGGUUGCAAUAACAAGAUCCAAGCAACUGUUUACCAAAAACACAGGUCUCCGCUAAGUCGUAAGACGAUGUAUGGGGGCUGACGCCUGCCCAGUGCCAGAAGGUUAAAGAAGUUGGUUAGCAUUAGCGAAGCUGAUGACUGAAGCCCUGGUGAACGGCGGCCGUAACAAUAACGGUCCUAAGGUAGCGAAAUUCCUUCGGGUAAGUUCCGACCCGCACGAAAGGCGUAAUGAUUUGGAUACUGUCUCGGAGAGGGGCUCGGUGAAAUAGACUUGUCUGUGAAGAUGCGGACUACCUGCACCAGGACAGAAAGACCCUAUGAAGCUUUACUGUAACCUGAAAUUGAAAUUGGACUUUAUUUGCGCAGUACAGGUGGGAGGCGUUGAGAAUAUUCUUGCGGGAAUAUUGGAGCCAUCAGUGAGAUACCACUCUUGUAAUGUUAGAUUUCUAACUUUGAAUCAUAAUCUGGUCAAAGAACAGUUUCAGGCGGGCAGUUUGACUGGGGCGGUCGCCUCCCAAAUGGUAACGGAGGCGUACAAAGGUUUCCUCUGAACGUGUAGAAAUCGUAUCUAGAGUGUAAAGGCAUAAGGAAGCUUGACUGUGAGACCUACAAGUCGAGCAGGGACGAAAGUCGGUCUUAGUGAUCUGACGGUGCUGAGUGGAAAGGCCGUCACUCAACGGAUAAAAGUUACUCUAAGGAUAACAGGCUGAUCUCCCCCAAGAGUUCACAUCGACGGGGAGGUUUGGCACCUCGAUGUCGGCUCAUCGCAUCCUGGGGCGGUAGUACGUCCCAAGGGUUGGGCUGUUCGCCCAUGAAAGCGGUACGCGAGCUGGGUUCAGAACGUCGUGAGGCAGUUCGGUCCAUAUCCGGUGUAGGCGUUAGAAUAUUGAGAGGAGCCUUCUUUAGUACGAGAGGACCGAGAAGGACAUACCUCUGGUGUACCAGUUAUCGUGCCAACGGUAAACGCUGGGUAGCUAUGUGUGGAGAGGAUAACCGCUGAAAGCAUCUAAGUGGGAAGCCCACCUCAAGAUAAG